ACGGUUAGUUAGUUCCCCAUCUUAAAAUCACUUUAUACCUGCACCACGGUCAGUUAAAUCAGAACACAUGCUGGCACGUUAGUUAGUUCUUCUAAUGUUUCCUGAUAUUCUUCUUCACCAAGGUAGUACAAUCAUGCCCGCAACUCCGGAGUACGAGAGAAACAGGUUGGCAAGUAUUUAGAGGCGCAAGGCUAAGGAGGCAGGGCCUCUCGCGAACAUACGGAACAUAGCUAGUCAAUUGCUAUACGGUCAGAAUGCAAAAGAUAAAGAGAGGUGCAAAGGUGAUAAUGGUGGCAGUGGCUCCGACUACGAGCCAAAUGAUGAUGAGGAGGCUGAUGAUGCCGAUGAGGUUUCUGGAGAAGAAGAGUAGCAGGAGCCAACUCUACAUAUGUCAAAGGAAAAGGCAAAGCAACCUUCUACAAAGACACAAGGAAGAAAGCGUGCCCAGUCCAAAACCACAGUGCCUACUGCCACAAGAACAACAAGAGCAUCGGCAUUUAGACUUAACCAGACUGACCAGACCUCACCUAAUGAUGACACAUCACCUCACCAAACUUCGAAAGAUAGUAACUCACCGCAGGCCGAUACAGAGAUGCAACACUCUCAAGACAUGACAGACACCUCUCACCAAAUUGAUAACACUGUUACACUACGAGACCAAGAUGCUUUAGGAUACUCUAAUGGUCCAACUAAUCCAAAUACCUCAAUGAGAGUCAAAUGUAGAAAAACCAUGGGGCAUGGUUUAGAUGAUUAUGCAAAAAGAAACGGAGGGAGGAAG